rnacentral:rRNA from 1 species
UACGAGGGGGGGCGAGCGUUGUUCGGAAUUAUUGGGCGUAAAGGGUGCGUAGGCGGUUUGGUAAGUCUUAUGUGAAAUCUAUGGGCUCAACUCAUAGUCUGCAUGAGAAAACUGCCCGGGCUUGAGUGUGGGAGAGGUGAGUGGAAAUUUCCGGUGUAGCGGUGGAAUGCGUAGAGAUCCGGAAGAACACCAGUGGCGAAGGCGGCCCGCUGGGCAGUGGCUGACGCUGAGGCGCGACAGCGUGGG